rnacentral:rRNA from 1 species
UGGGGAAUAUUGCACAAUGGGGGAAACCCUGAUGCAGCGACGCCGCGUGAACGAAGAAGGUAUUCGUAUCGUAAAGUUCUGUCCUAUGGGAAGAUAAUGACAGUACCAUAGAAGAAAGCUCCGGCUAAAUACGUGCCAGCAGCCGCGGUAAUACGUAUGGAGCGAGCGUUGUCCGGAAUUAUUGGGCGUAAAGGGUACGCAGGCGGUUUAAUAAGUCGAAUGUUAAAGAUCGGGGCUCAACCCCGUAAAGCAUUGGAAACUGAUAAACUUGAGUAGUGGAGAGGAAAGUGGAAUUCCUAGUGUAGUGGUGAAAUACGUAGAUAUUAGGAGGAAUACCAGUAGCGAAGGCGACUUUCUGGAGACAAACUGACGCUGAGGUACGAAAGCGUGGGGAGCAAACAGG